rnacentral:rRNA from 1 species
UACAGAGGCCUCGAGCGUUAGGCGGAAUCACUGGGCUUAAAGCGUGUGUAGGCGGACUUCUAAGUACCUUGUGAAAUCCCACGGCUUACCCGUGGAACGGCUGGGUAUACUGGUCGUCUUGAGCCAUCUAGGGGCUACCGGAACAAAUGGUGGAGCGGUGAAAUGCGUAGAUAUCAGGAGGAACACCGGUGGCGAAGGCGGUGGUCUGGGCCGGAACUGACGCUGAGGAGCGAAAGCGUGGGGAGCGAACAGG